rnacentral:rRNA from 1 species
AUACGUAGGGGGCGAGCGUUGUCCGGAAUGAUUGGGCGUAAAGGGCGCGUAGGCGGCCCGGUAAGUCUGGAGUGAAAGUCCUGUUUUUAAGAUGGGAAUUGCUUUGGAUACUGUCGGGCGUGAGUGCAGGAGAGGUAAGUGGAAUUCCCAGUGUAGCGGUGAAAUGCGUAGAGAUUGGGAGGAACACCAGUGGCGAAGGCGACCUACUGGACUGUAACGGACGAUGAAGAGCGAAAGUGUGGGGAGCAAACAGGAUUAGAUACCCAGGUAGUCCACACUGUAAACGAUGGAUGAUAGCUAUAGGGGGUAUCGACCCCUUCUGUGCCCCAGUCAACACAAUAAGCAUUCCGCCUGGGGAGUACGGCCGCAAGGUUGAAACUCAAAGGAAUUGACGGGG